UACCGAGUUUACAACUCCCAAACCCAUGUGAACAUACCUAUUGUUGCUUCGGCGGGAUUGCCCCGGGCGCCUCGCGUGCCCCGGAUCAGGCGCCCGCCUAGGAACUUUAACUCUUGUUUUAUUUUGAAUCUUCUGAGUAGUUUUUACAAAUAAAUAAAAACUUUCAACAACGGAUCUCUUGGUUCUGGCAUCGAUGAAGAACGCAGCGAAAUGCGAUAAGUAAUGUGAAUUGCAGAAUUCAGUGAAUCAUCGAAUCUUUGAACGCACAUUGCGCCCGCCAGUAUUCUGGCGGGCAUGCCUGUCUGAGCGUCAUUUCAACCCUCAUGCCCCUAGGGCGUGGUGUUGGGGAUCGGCCAAAGCCCGCAAGGGACGGCCGGCCCCUAAAUCUAGUGGCGGACCCGUCGUGGCCUCCUCUGCGAAGUAGUGAUAUUCCGCAUCGGAGAGCGAUGAGCCCCUGCCGUUAAACCCCCAACUUUCUAAGGUUGACCUCAGAUCAGGUAGGAAUACCCGCUGAACUUAAGCAUAUCAAUAAGCGGAGGAAAAGAAACCAACAGGGAUUGCCCUAGUAACGGCGAGUGAAGCGGCAACAGCUCAAAUUUGAAAUCUGGCGCAAGNNCNAGUUGUAAUUUGUAGAGGAUGUUUCUGGCGACGUGCCUUCCGAGUUCCCUGGAACGGGACGCCAUAGAGGGUGAGAGCCCCGUACGGUUGGAUGCCUAGCCUCUGUGAAACUCCUUCGACGAGUCGAGUAGUUUGGGAAUGCUGCUCUAAAUGGGAGGUAUACGUCUUCUAAAGCUAAAUACNCGNNNNAGACNCGAUAGCGCACAAGUAGAGUGAUCGAAAGAUGAAAAGCACUUUGAAAAGAGGGUUAAAAAGUACGUGAAAUUGUUGAAAGG
rnacentral:rRNA from 1 species